rnacentral:rRNA from 1 species
UACGUAGGGGGCAAGCGUUGUCCGGAUUUAUUGGGCGUAAAGAGCGUGUAGGCGGCCAGACAGGUCCGUUGUGAGAACUAGAGGCUUAACCUCUAGACGUCGAUGGAAACCGUCUGGCUAGAGUCCGGAAGAGGAGAAUGGAAUUCCUGGUGUAGCGGUGAAAUGCGCAGAUAUCAGGAAGAACACCCGUGGCUAAGGCGGUUCUCUAGUACGGUACUGACGCUGAGACGCGAAAGCGUGGGGAGCGAACAGG